CUUCCCACCAGGGGAAGGGAGUGGGAGUGUGUCUGGAGGCCCUGGGCAGUGCCCCUGGAUCAGUCUGUCUGGCGUGGUCUCCUGUGAAGGUCAAGUGUCCUGUGGCUGGGAGGAGAGGCGAGGACAGGUGGCUUGUGCUGGAGGACUGGCUGCUGUGGAGAUGCUGGGGAUGAGCGGCUGGCCCUGCCUCUCCGUGUUCAGGAGCGGGAGGGAAGGAGUCAGCUCGGCUUCUUCUCCUGCGUGGGAGUCAUCCCAGGUUUUCGCAUGUGGACAACCGAGGCCCAGACGGACAGGCCGAGACUUCAUGGGGACCCGCAUGGGAUGGAUGUGGUGGACGGAGCCCAGCCCUGCCUUCCUGGCUGACUCGGGGCCCUCCCCAGCGGUUAUUGCCACAGUCAGCCCCAGCUCCUUUCACUGCUGACCCUGGGGCAGCAGCGCCCAUGGAGCAGAAGGGAUGCCCGGACCCUGUGCAGACGGAUGUGCACCGGCCUCAGCACCUCCCACCGACACGCAGAUAGCAGCCAGGGCGCGUCCAGUCACCGUGCUCUCUGAAGGCUGAUGUGUUGCGCUGAACCCUACUUUUUCUUCAUUCGCCCCAGUUCUUACCAGUCUGGAUUACUAAUGAUGCUCCCGUGACCCUUGUCCCAGGAUCUCACUGUGUAACCCAUGCUGGCCUUGAAUUCCUGGCA